rnacentral:lncRNA from 1 species
UGUGUGCCCUGGCCUCUGUGCUUUGCUGACCCCUCCCGCAGGGUGUGAUUCAAGUUCCACCUCCCCAGGAAGAUGGUCCAGUACCCUCCAGCCCACACGGCUCCUCUGUGAAACUCUCAGAGCCCUGACAACUUAGGCAUGUGGCAUGCCUUCAUUCAUCCAUCCAUCAUUUACUCAUUCAGCAAAUCUCUCUUGAGCAGAGGUAAGAACGUCUACACUGCCUCACAUCCUGGCCUGUUCACUCAUCCCUUUCCAACCUCAUCACUCCCCGCUCUGCCUCUCACCCACAUUGCCAGCCCCUCCCCAUGCCCUGCUGUUCCUGAAACGAGCAUCUUCUGCCUCCGGCCUCUGUGGUUGUUCCCUUUACCUGUCCCACUCUUGCUCCAAAUAUCCUCAGAUGGUGCCUCCUUGCCUUCUUUUUUUUCUUCUUUUUUGCCUGCCACAUGGCGGAUGGAGUUCCAGGGCCAGGGAUCAGAUCCCAGAGGCAGAUGCCAGAUCUUUAACCCACUGUGUGGGCGGGGAUCGAAUCUUCGUGCCACAGUAGGCACUCCACCUCCUCACAUUCCUGAGAGCUCCACUCAGUGUCACCUUCUCAGCAAAGCCUUCCCCAACCACCUCCAUAUAUAAAAACUGUCCUGUGUCCCCUCAACCCCAGAAGAGCCCUAUCGCCUUCACCCUGCUCUACUUGCCUUCAUAGUACUUAUCACCCACUCACAUGUAUUGAUCUACCAUUUGUCAUCUGUCUCUUCCCCACUAAGUUAUUAGCUCCAAGAAGGCAGAAUUUGUCUGUUUUGUUCACUAGUUGUAUCUCCAGAAUUGGAACAGAGGCAUUAGAAGGAUAUCAAUAGUUAUUAAUUGAAUGAAUGAAUGAGAGAAUGAAUGACAUGGGCACUGUCUUAGGCUCUGAAAGAUGCCGAAUAGUUCAUGUCCUCCGGGGUUGCACAGGCUACUUGGACGUAGACUAUGUGGCCUGUGACAUGACAAGUACAUUACAAUUAGUUAGAGUAUCAAAUGGGAUCACUACGUGCAUGGGAGUGUGGUUGGCUCAAAGGAAACAGAACACUGUGACAGCUCUUGAUGCCCCAAAGCUGCCUAACCCAGCACCAUCCUGGCAUUUCCCACGCAUCAUUCAUUACGCCCCACUGGAGAAGGUGGGGAGGGAGGCACAGAGGAGGGGAGACUGAGGCUGGGUAGGCAAUCCAGGCAGAGAGAAGAGCAGAGCCACUGGGGGACAUGGAACCACACGGGCGGCUGGAGGACUGACUCUGAGCUUAUGAUCUGAGGGGUGGAGCCCGGGGAGCCACAACUGGUAGGGAUGGCAUCUGGUAUGGCUGGAGAGUCCCUAUCCAUUAGGCCAUGAACUGCCCAUUUGCUCAGUGCCCUGCAGCAGGCAGACACAUGGAGAGUGUCUGAUGACAACAUCCAAUUCCCAACCGGGCAGCCGGGACACCCAUAUGUCAAGUGACUCACUGCCAUUUUUUCCAGGUGGACUGAAAGUCCCCAGCACCCUUAACACUUGGUUCUUGGAAACCUGCUCCCUCGUUCCACUUCUCACCUGCAGUUCUGUGAUGUUGCCGAUGCCACCUCUAGACCCCAUUCCACAAGCUGGUGAAAACUCUGCUGCACCUCACCCCACACCACAUCAGUCUCUUCUUGCUUCAGGGUAAAUGGUGAGAAAUAACCCAUGGCCCCGAGCAGAGGUGUUCUCUCUCAAGAAAGACCCAACUUAUUGAAAAUCUAGUGCAAGGAGAAGUCAUAAAUAUCCCAGUUUGCUGCACUUGAGAGGAAUUAACCACACAGCAAUUAAAACGGGUUGCCUGUGGAGGAAACAUUCAGACUCCCACGGCAGAACUCUGGGGUAAGUCCAUUGCCAAGUGCUUGCACCAUAAAUACCAGGGACAGGGGAUUUUAGGGAAGAAGCCCUGGGCUCUUAAAGGCCUCCCUCACUCAGAGGGUGUGAUCCUCUUAUACUGGAGACUAUGGUAGAGGUCAAAACUCUACCCAUCUGAUGCUUGUUCUUUGUAAGAGCUUUCUUUUCUUUCUUUCUUUCUUUCUUUCUUUUUUUUUUUUUUUUUUUUUAGGGCCACACCUGCUGCAUAUGGAAGUUCCCAGGCUAGGGGUCAAAUUGGAGCCACAGCUGCCAGUCUACAGCACAGCCACAGCAACACCAGAUCCGAGACGUGUCUGUGACCUAUACCACAACUCGUGGCAACACCAGAUCCUUAACCCACUGAGCAAGGCCAAGGAUUGAACCCUCAUCUUCAUGGACACUACUAGUUGGGUUUUUAAUGGGCUGAGGCACAACGUGAAUUCCUGUAAGAGCUUUUCAUUGCAGCAGUGUCUCAGGGUGUAAGUUCUCUGUUGCUGGAGGAAUUCAAGCAGAAUGAAUAUAUCCAGCCCUGGAAGGGAAGAAAGCCUUUGGGGCGCAGGUGGACAGGGUAGCGUGUUGGGGCAAGAGAGAGAAAGAUGCUGAAGGAAGAAGCUGAUGGUCUUAAGACCAAGGCUCCUCCUGGUCCAGGUCUAUAACCUCUUGCCAGGAGAUCCCAACCAUAGCUGCCUCUGCACCCCCCCACCCCCCACCCCCAAUCUGUCUCCCAUUCCCUUUGGCCUCCACUGAAGCUUCUAGAAUCUUAGCCCUGAAUCCCAGGCCCUUGCCCCAGCACUUUUGCAGAGUACAGGGAAAGGGCAAUCCAAGAGUGCCCUCUAUUUCCUUCCUUGCCACUUUAACUGGAAGAAACUGGACUCAGAGUGUUCUAGCACCAGUACCAGGAUCCUAGGUUCUAGAGACCACUGUUUCUUGUCUUUUUAUGGCCACAACUGUGGCAUAGGGAAGUUUCCAGGCUAGGGGUCAAAUCAAAGGAUCCUUAACUCACUGAGUGAGGCCAGGGAUCGAACCCACAACUUCAUGGAUAUAUUAUUCAAGUGUGUUAUUGCUGAGCCAUGAAGGGAACACCCAGACCUGCUGUUUGCACCUCCAAAAAGAGUUUUCCAAAAUUGUGUAGGAAUGGCGUUCCCUGGUGGUUUGGUGGGUUAAGAAUUCAGUGUUGUCAGUGCUGUGGCAUGAGUUUAAUCCCUGGCCAGGGAAUUUCCACAUGCCUUUUGGGUACCCUCCCCCCAAAAUAAAGAGAAUCUUGUAGGGAGAGCCUCACUUUAGAAGAGGGUAUGAGUUCCCAUUGUGACUCGGUGGUUAACGAACCCGACUAGUAUCCAUGAGGACUUGGGUUCGAUUCCUGGCCUCGCUCAGUAGGUUAAGGAUUGGGUGUUGCCAUGAACUGUGGUGUAGGUUGCAGACGCGGCUUGGAUCUCAAGUUGCUGUGACUGUGGCAUAGGCCGACAGCUACAGCUCUGAUUGAACCCCUAGCUUGGGAACCUCCAUAUGCCAAGGGUACAGCCCUAAAAGACAAAAAGACAAAAAG